UACAGAGGUCCCAAGCGUUGUUCGGAUUCAUUGGGCGUAAAGGGUGCGUAGGCGGCGCGGUAAGUCGGGUGUGAAAUCUCGGGGCUUAACUCCGAAACUGCAUUCGAUACUGCCGUGCUUGAGGACUGGAGAGGAGACUGGAAUUUACGGUGUAGCGGUGAAAUGCGUAGAUAUCGUAAGGAAGACCAGUGGCGAAGGCGGAUCUCUGGGACGGUACUGACGCUGAGACGCGAAAGCGUGGGGAGCGAACAGG
rnacentral:rRNA from 1 species